GAAGGUAGAGCUCAGUGGUAGAGGGCAUGCCUAGCGUGGACAAGGUACUGGGUUCAAUCCCCAGUACCUCCA
rnacentral:tRNA from 1 species